rnacentral:sRNA from 1 species
CAUGCCCCUUAUACGCUGGGCUACACACGUGCUACAAUGGGUAGUACAGAGAGUCGCAAACCUGCGAGGGGGAGCUAAUCUCAGAAAACUAUUCUUAGUUCGGAUUGUACUCUGCAACUCGAGUACAUGAAGUUGGAAUCGCUAGUAAUCGCGAAUCAGCAAUGUCGCGGUGAAUACGUUCUCGGGUCUUGUACACACCGCCCGUCACACCACGAGAGUUGGUUGCACCUGAAGUAGCAGGCCUAACCGUAAGGAGGGAUGCUCCGAGGGUGUGAUUAGCGAUUGGGGUGAAGUCGUAACAAGGUAUCCGUACGGGAACGUGCGGAUGGAUCACCUCCUUUCUAAGGAGACAAUGUCUUUCUCUAUUCUAUUGGUAAUGUUCUUACAUUACUUCUGAACAUUGGAAACUAUAUAGUAGAACAAAAAUAACUCUAAACAAUUUCUUAGAGUUAGCUGUCAAAAAAUAGAUUAAAAUAAUUAAGGGCACACAAAGGAUGCCUAGGUAGUAAGAGCCGAUGAAGGACGUGGUAAGCUGCG